rnacentral:rRNA from 1 species
CCUACGGGGGGCAGCAGUUGGGAAUAUUGGACAAUGGAGGAAACUCUGAUCCAGUGACGCCGCGUGAAGGAAGAAGGUCUUCGGAUUGUAAACUUAUUUUAUCAGGGAAGAAAAAAAUGACUGUACCUGAAGAAGAAGCACCGGCUAACUACGUGCCAGCAGCCGCGGUAAUACGUAGGGUGCAAGCGUUAUCCGGAUUUACUGGGUGUAAAGGGAGCGUAGGUGGCAGGGCAAGUCAGAUGUGAAAACCCGGGGCUCAACUCCGGGAGUGCAUUUGAAACUGUCCAGCUAGAGUGCAGGAGAGG